rnacentral:misc_RNA from 1 species
GAUGAAGAACGUAGUGAAAUGCGAUAAGUAAUGUGAAUUGCAGAAUUCAGUGAAUCAUCGAAUCUUUGAACGCACAUUGCGCCCGCCAGUAUUCUGGCGGGCAUGCCUGUUCGAGCGUCAUUUCAACCAUCAAGCCCUGCUUGCGUUGGGGUCCUGCGGCUGCCCGCAGGCCCUGAAAACCAGUGGCGGGCUCGCUAGUCACACCGAGCGCAGUAAUACAUCUCGCUUUGGGCAUGCGGCGGGUUCUUGCCGUUAAACACCCCCUUUUUACCAAGGUUGACCUCGGAUCAGGUAGGAAUACCCGCUGAACUUAAGCAUAUCAAUAAGCGGAGGA